GGCUAUGCAAACGGGUGCUGAUAUGAACAAUGGCUGAGAUAAAACCGUCAAAUACUCGAUCGCGAUAAUGCGCGCGAGAGGAUUGCAAUAAACUGUUGU
rfam:Rhizoclosmatium globosum strain JEL800 BCR33scaffold_295, whole genome shotgun sequence.